rnacentral:tRNA from 1 species
AGAUGUAGCGCAGCUUGGUAGCGCACCUGCCUUGGGAGCAGGGUGUCGCAGGUUCAAAUCCUGUCAUCU